rnacentral:rRNA from 1 species
GCAGUCGAGCGGACAGAAGGGAGCUUGCUCCCGGAUGUUAGCGGCGGACGGGUGAGUAACACGUGGGUAACCUGCCUGUAAGACUGGGAUAACUCCGGGAAACCGGAGCUAAUACCGGAUAGUUCCUUGAACCGCAUGGUUCAAGGAUGAAAGACGGUUUCGGCUGUCACUUACAGAUGGACCCGCGGCGCAUUAGCUAGUUGGUGGGGUAAUGGCUCACCAAGGCGACGAUGCGUAGCCGACCUGAGAGGGUGAUCGGCCACACUGGGACUGAGACACGGCCCAGACUCCUACGGGAGGCAGCAGUAGGGAAUCUUCCGCAAUGGACGAAAGUCUGACGGAGCAACGCCGCGUGAGUGAUGAAGGUUUUCGGAUCGUAAAGCUCUGUUGUUAGGGAAGAACAAGUGCGAGAGUAACUGCUCGCACCUUGACGGUACCUAACCAGAAAGCCACGGCUAACUACGUGCCAGCAGCCGCGGUAAUACGUAGGUGGCAAGCGUUGUCCGGAAUUAUUGGGCGUAAAGGGCUCGCAGGCGGUUUCUUAAGUCUGAUGUGAAAGCCCCCGGCUCAACCGGGGAGGGUCAUUGGAAACUGGGAAACUUGAGUGCAGAAGAGGAGAGUGGAAUUCCACGUGUAGCGGUGAAAUGCGUAGAGAUGUGGAGGAACACCAGUGGCGAAGGCGACUCUCUGGUCUGUAACUGACGCUGAGGAGCGAA